AUUGAACGCUGGCGGCAUGCCUUACACAUGCAAGUCGAACGGUAACGGGCCUUCGGGUGCCGACGAGUGGCGAACGGGUGAGUAAUGUAUCGGAACGUACCUUUCAGUGGGGGAUAACGUAGCGAAAGUUACGCUAAUACCGCAUAUUCUGUGAGCAGGAAAGCAGGGGAUCGCAAGACCUUGCGCUGAUUGAGCGGCCGAUAUCAGAUUAGCUAGUUGGUGAGGUAAAGGCUCACCAAGGCGACGAUCUGUAGCGGGUCUGAGAGGAUGAUCCGCCACCCUGGAACUGAAACACGGUCCAGCCUCCUACGGGAGGCAGCAGUGGGGAAUUUUGGACAAUGGGGGCAACCCUGAUCCAGCCAUGCCGCGUGAGUGAAGAAGGCCUUCGGGUUGUAAAGCUCUUUCGGCCGGGAAGAAAUCGUAUGGGUUAAUACCCUGUGCGGAUGACGGUACCGGCAUAAGAAGCACCGGCUAACUACGUGCCAGCCGCCGCCGUAACAC
rnacentral:rRNA from 1 species